AUUAAUUAUGAUCCUCUUUUACAACUAGAGACAUACAAUGAAAAGGAGGGGAAAAGGUCAGUGCUGUCCUACAUUCAGACUUUCUAUGCAUUGGGAAAUACUUCUUAUUUAUAUUCUAAAUGUAAAUGUGAGUAACAGGAAAACUCAGCACCUUGGGCUCUUAAGGCAUCUUCUACCCAAGAGCCGAAAAUUGCACCUCCUGAACCUUUAGAACCUGAGGACAAAAUAGCCUUAAUCAAAUCCUCCCCCCCUUUUUUUACUGAACCUAAGGUUUCCCCCACCUGCCCUUCCAGCCUUAAGGAUAAAGCUUCUAGGCCAGCUGUAAUCCAGGCCUUUCCAGGACUAUACCCAUCCUUAGCUGAGUUUAAGCAAGCUCCUCAAGGGCAGUAUCCUUUGCAGGGAGUACAUGGAUGAUCUGGAACUUCCAGAAUUCAUGUACCUUUCUCUCUUGGUGACCUAAAACAAAUAAAAUUAGAUCUUGGGAAAUUUUCAGAUGAGCCUGACAAGUACAUUCAGGUCCUUAGAGGACUUACUCAGGCAUAUUAAGUAGAUUGGAAAGAUGUAGUGUUACUCUUAAAUCAGACAUUCAUUUCUAGUGAGAGACACGCAGCAUUACAGGCUGCUAUUGCCUUUGGAUAUGAAUACCAUAUUGUCAAUUUUAGAAGGCCAGAAGAUAAAGGGAAAUAACUUUAGCAACUAGUUUAAAUUUAACUUGUGCAAGAAUAAAAUAAUAAAAAUAUGCCAUUAAAUCUUGUAAUCCACAAACGAGCCCCCAAAGCCCAAACUCGAGUUCAAAAAUGGACAAGAUGUGUUUUUAUUUUAAAAAAGCAGCACUGAUUUAUUUUGUCCUGGACCAGCGACACAGUGCAGUUGGAGUUUGCAAAAGCUGUGUUCCCACUGGAUCACAAACAGUCCCUAUGCAAGACUCUUACUGGGCCCACAACCAGGUGAGUGAUUGGAUUAGAAAUCAUUUCCAGACAUGUGUUCUUGAAGGCUGAAGAAGAGUGAGAACUAAACCAUUCAAUUAUUUUAAGUUAUCAGUUAUUCAAUAAGAAAAGAAGGAACAAUUUUCUGCCUCCUUAGAUGGAUUAUGAGAGGCAUUGAUAAAGCAUACUUCUUUAGAUUCUGAUUCAAUAGAGGGACAAAUUAUCCUUAAAGAUAAGUUUAUUACACAGUCAGCCUCAGCUAUUAGAAAAAAGCUACAAAAGAUGGCUUUUCCUCCAGAUAGUCCACUUGAUACUUUAUUUAUUCAUUCAUUUUGUGUGUGUUGGAGUUUGUGGAUCAAACACAACACACAUUUGACAGGCAAGUGAUUUUGCUACUGAGCUAAACCCCCAGCUCACUUGAUACUUUAGUAAAAGUUGCCUCCUCAGUAUUUUAUAACUGUGAUGAGAGGAAGGUCAAAGAGAGAAAACAAAGAGACUGAGAAAAAGCAGCUGCUUUUGCACAGCAUUAAGAGAAACAGACCCUAAGUCUGAUUCUCAGGUCUCCAAGAAUAGCUCAACGAUGACUUUCACCUGCCAUCACUGCCACAAGCCAGGUGACCUUAAGAGGGACUGCACUCAAAAGCCCCCUGGGCCAUGCCCUGACUGCAGACGUGACCACUGGAUGUCAGACUGCCCUCUCAGCCCAAGGCCCCACCAGGGUUCAGAUUCAUCCUACCUUUACCUCUUAUCAAAAUAACAAAUACACCUCAAAACCUAGGCCUCAGUCCGCUUGAAAUGCCUUAUGGAUGCCCUUUCCUCACUGAUGAUUUUCUCUUUGUCAGAGAAACAGAUGCCUUAUAAAAAGACAUCACCUCAUUGGCUAAAUUCCAGCAAACUCUUCAAGAGCUUACAGAAGCUCAGCCUACAGAGAAAGGAAAACCUAUCUUCCACCCUGGAGAUUUAGUACUGGUAAAAUCCCCUCCCUCAUCAGCCAUUGGGAAGGACCUUACACUGUGAUCCUGUCGACUUCUUCCAUGCUGAAGACAAGAGGCCUGGACACUCGGAUGCAUCACACCUGACACAAACCCUGGAAACUUGAGACUAUCACUGGAUGUGAACAACCACCCACAUACUCCUGUGAACGCACAGAAGACCUAAGAUUCCUCUUCAAGAAGAAAACAAAGACUUCAGACUUAGAGCUGUAUGCCUACCCAUGAUGAAAAUGCCUGGUAUCUAUUGAGGGCCUCUAGACAGGAUCUCUGCAGAAGUAUCUCUGACUGCUGGUCACCACUACAACCCUCUUCAGCCUGAAGAAGCCAGAUCGGUCAUCACCCAUGACACCCUCAUGGCAGUUCUUGUUACUUCUUCAGAGAGGGGACUGUUAUAAGCAGCUGAGUUAGUUAGAAAUACUACAGGAAGUGAGACAGGGCUAGGUCCUCAAAGGAGCCAGUGCAGAAGCUCAGAUACCUUGCAACUAAGGGGAAGACAAGCACCUGCUGCUGUGGGCCAAGCCUCAAGAUAAAAGACCAUACAAAUACAUCCAUAUCCUAAGGAGUGAAGUUCUAAAGAGUUCCCCAGCAUGCUGAGGAAGUAAGGAGUGACAUUCCAAACCUUUAGGGAAGAUUCACUGCUCUCUAAGAAUUCCUGCAUUCUAAGUGAUUCCCUUCCCGUUUUGUCCCCACUUUAAUCAAUUUUACCUGAACUAUUAAUCUUAUUGGUUAGCCUUAGUUUUGUACCACCUUAUGCCCAUCUGCCUUGUGAGUACCCAGUUUCCCCAUGUUAAACCCUUUGUAUGCCAUGAUUUCCUAGAACUGUCUGGAAAAUAUAGAGUCCCUGGCAACCCGCUUUUGUCUCUCUCUCAGACAGAAGCUUGUUUUCUCUCAAUAAAUGUAUUCUACUCUUAA